CAGAGCCUGCACAUCCCCGAUAAGACGUCUGGGGCCCAGAGCCCGAGCCAGCCUCCCGCAGACCCUGUGGAGACUGUGUGCCAGGAGGCCUAGCUCGGGUCUGCUGUGGGUAUUUCGGGCUAAGUGGGGAUCCCAGCACGGCACACACAAGGAAGGGGCAAUUCCUGCCCAGCCACCGGGGGGGAACGCUGGGCAACUGGCCUACCAUCUGGGACUGUGGCCCCCCUGCCCCCAGCACAGCUGCGGGUCCUCAGUGGGCCCCUUGGACCGAGGAGGCCGUGGAGUUGGUGAGUCUCCUGACUUCCAGACAGGGCUCUGCCCCUCACAGGGGGGUUGCCAGAGGGCCUUGGCUCUUCAGCAAAAACGUAUGGAGCGGCCACACGCUGGGGACGCACUGACAAAUCCUACCAACACCAGCUAGAAGUAAUCUAUGCCCAACACGGAGCUUAAUCAAACUCAGGACCCCGAAUUCAAGAGUUGCAUAUUCCAUGGACUGAGCCAGCCAGGUGCCCCUACUGAUCACAAUUUUGGUAUUACAAAGGAAGUAAUGAAAUCAGAAAGUUCAGGGUGUGCAACCAGUAACUUCCCACGAGUAGGUGCUUCUUUGGACAAGCACCCUUGUCCACAACGCCUUCCGCUGAGGCCCAGGAGCAGAUCACCCCUGACCUCAUCUGCCACAGUCAUUUCUGGUUUUCUUCAUGUUCUUUAAUGAUGAUGAUGAUCACAAAUGUGGACAUGUGA